GACGAAGGUGGCUAGCGUUGUUCGGAAUCACUGGGCUUAAAGAGCACGUAGGCGGUCUGUUAAGCACCUUGUGAAAUCCCUCGGCUCAACCGGGGAAUUGCUUGGUGUACUGGCAGACUUGAGGCAAGUAAGGGUGCGUGGAACUCUUGGUGGAGCGGUGAAAUGCGUAGAUAUCAAGAGGAACGCCGGAGGCGAAAGCGAUGCACUGGGCUUGUCCUGACGCUGAGGUGCGAAAGCCAGGGGAGCAAACGGG
rnacentral:rRNA from 1 species